rnacentral:rRNA from 1 species
UACGGAGGGUGCAAACGUUGCUCGGAAUUAUUGGGCGUAAAGCGCACGUAGGCGGUCCGUUAUGUCGGAUGUGAAAGCCCAGGGCUUAACCCUGGAAGGGCAUCCGAAACUGACGGGCUUGAGUACGGAAGAGGGUCUCGGAAUUCCCGGUGUAGAGGUGAAAUUCGUAGAUAUCGGGAGGAACACCAGUGGCGAAGGCGGAGACCUGGGCCGAUACUGACGCUGAGGUGCGAAAGCGUGGGGAGCAAACAGG